UAACCUGCCCAGGACCACCCAGCUAGAGAGCAAUGAAAGCUCUGGGUACACACAAAGGGGCAGAAGAAAACAUCGCGGUGAAACCAGGGGCGACCUGGUUCCACUAGAGAUGACAAAGUUUACAAGCCUCACACGUUUCCCGACGGGAGACUCGGGCAUGACGUUAUAGAGCAGGGGGUACGGGCUUCAGUAACGGACGGAAGUGGGCGCCAAUUCUGAGCCAACGGGUGCCGUUCACACCCCGGCUGUGUGCCCCCUGCCAAGACAUCUGGCUUCUGCAAGCUUUUGGGCCGUCACCUGCAGAGUGGGGAUGGGGACACGCCCCCUCGCUGGCGGGCUCUGAGAAUUAACAAGGUGCAGAGAGAGGGAGAGACAGAAUCCCAAGCAGGCUCCUCUGUGCUGUCAGCACAGGACCCAACGUGGAGCUCGAGCCCACGAACCGCGAGAUCAGGAUCUGAGCUGAGCAGGCCCUGCACCUCCCAGCUGAAAUGUGUGUUACAAGCACGGCCGGUUCCCCGCACACGUGGGCCAGAUGUUUGGCAGGCCAAUAGGCAGAAGAGUUAUCGCCAGGAAAAAACAAAAAACAAAACAAACAGAAAGGUCAUACCCUCGGUCUUGGUGGAACAGGGACGUGGACUCGUGAGGUGUGGGUCCUACUCGUGGUAGCCCAGCGCCAGCCUGCCCCUCAGUCGACAGAAAGGGAGCGUCCCUGAACCCCACAAAGCUGGCUCCAGUCAAAGGAGAUCCCGUAGCCCGGUCUAGGCAUAGACGGACACAGCAGAACACAGGAGAAUUCUGAGACCCCAGAGAGGGACGUUUGUGGGUGCCGAUGAAGCGAGCCCUGGCAGUGGCAGCGGGGUCUCGGGGAGUAGAGGUCUCAUCUCGGGCGGACCGUCAUCACCCCUCCUGCGUCCCCACGAGGAGUAGAAAGAAAAACCAGGCAGGGCCCCCUCGUGUUGGCCUGCCAGGUGAAAUCAGAGGGUAGGUCCGGUGUCCUGCCUCUAUCCCGUGUACCCUGGGCCGACUGCGUCUAUCGGGAGGGUGCGUGCACUCAUGGGGAAACACGGGCCCCCUUGUCUAACCACAGAGGUGCCCCCAUGGGCACCGGAGGUCCCAGGUUCCCCGGGGGCUGUCCUUGCCCGGACAUUUCCUGUCUCCCCAGCCCUCAUUUCCUUUCUGUGCUGAUUCAGUUUGUGCCAAGAGAUUACUAGGAUCCAAGCCUUGACUCUUGCUCUCGGGCUCAGGCCUUUCCCGUUUGCAGCUCACACGCUGACCGGGGGCCAUGCUGCCUGUCUGUAAGUCUGAGUCUCAUCGGGUGAGGCUCCGACACACAGGACGGCAAGCUGGCCCAGAUCUCCACCACUGUCCCCUCCAGCACACGUGCGAUCCAGCCUCAGCCUCAAGCACCUGCGACAUCUGGGGCCUGAGAAUUUUUUGUUGGAGGGCGAGGGGCGCUGCUGGUGUGAACCAUGACUGGCCACACCCCUGCCUUCCAUCCACCAGGUGCCUGUAACGCCCACCCACCUCCACGCAAAUAUCCUGUAGGGGGCAAAAACACCCUCAAGUGGUCUACAGAACCCCCCCCCCCCCCCCCCCCCCGACUUACAAUUUACCACCAGGAAAAGAAUCGUCAAUGCAAAUUCCCUAGCUCCCUUUUCAGACUUCAGGUUCCCGAGCUCUGGGUGCUCACAGAGCUGGCAGCAAGGACACAGAGAAAAUGACACCAUGUGACCCAGCCUCCUCAAAGACUUCUGGGUGGCGGGAUGGGAAGCAAGAGUGAUUAAAAAUUGCUAUGUUGCCAAAA